rnacentral:rRNA from 1 species
UACGGAGGGAGCUAGCGUUGUUCGGAAUUACUGGGCGUAAAGCGCGCGUAGGCGGUUACUCAAGUCAGAGGUGAAAGCCCGGGGCUCAACCCCGGAACUGCCUUUGAAACUAGAUUGCUAGAAUCCUGGAGAGGUUAGUGGAAUUCCGAGUGUAGAGGUGAAAUUCGUAGAUAUUCGGAAGAACACCAGUGGCGAAGGCGACUAACUGGACAGGUAUUGACGCUGAGGUGCGAAAGCGUGGGGAGCAAACAGG